CCUACGGGUGGCAGCAGUGAGGAAUAUUGGUCAAUGGGCGGAAGCCUGAACCAGCCAAGUAGCGUGCGGGAUGAAGGCCCUACGGGUCGUAAACCGCUUUUGCACGGGGAUAACACCCUCCACUUGUGAGGUCUGCAGGUACCGCUCGAAUAAGGGCCGGCUAAUUCCGUGCCAGCAGCCGCGGUAAUACGGAAGGCCCGAGCGUUAUCCGGAUUCAUUGGGCUUAAAGGGCGCGUUGGCGGGCGUAAACGUCAGCUGUAAAAUCGCGCGGCUCAACCGCGCCCCGCAGUUGAAACUGGACGCAUUGAGUUCACAACGGGCAGGCGGAAUUCGUGGUGUAGCGGUGAAAUGCAUAGAUAUCGCGAGGAACCCCGAUUGCGAAGGCAGCCUGCCGGGGUGCGACUGACGCUGAGGCUCGAAGGUGCGGGUAUCAAACAGGAUUAGAUGCCCUUGUAGUC
rnacentral:rRNA from 1 species